AGCGAACGCUGGCGGCAGGCCUAACACAUGCAGGUCGAACGAACCUUUCGGGGUUUUUGGCCGUCGGGUGUGUAACCCGUGGGAACGUUCCUUUAGGUUUGGCCUACCUCAGGGAAACUUGUGCUUUUACCGAAUGUGCCCUUCUGGGGAAAGAUUUUUCGCCGUUAGUGCGGCCCGCGUCUGAUUAGCCAGUUGUUUGACUUAAUGGCUCACCAAGGCGAUGUUCAGUAGCUGGUCUGGGAGGAAGAUCAGACACAUUGAGACUGAGACACGGCACAAAAUCCUACGGGAGGCAGCAGUGGGGAAUCUUGCGAAAUGGGGGAAAGCAUGACGCAGCCAUGACGGGAGAAUGAUGAAGGUAUUAGGAUUGUAAAAUGCUUUCAACGGGGAAGAUAAUGACGGUACCCGAAGAAGAAGCCCCGGCUAACUUCGUG
rnacentral:rRNA from 1 species